CUGCCCGCCUCUAAGUCAGAAUCCAUGCCAGAACGCGGUGAUACCACCCGCACGUAUAGAUGGACAAGCAAUAGGCUUCGGCUUAGCGUCUUAGCAGGCGAUUCUUCCACGGCGCUCGAAGCGCGUCGUGGUAUUUCGCGUAUUGUAAUUUCAACACGAGCGGGGUCAAAUCCUUUGCAGACGACUUAGCUGUGCGAAACGGUCCUGUAAGCAGUAGAGUAGCCUUGUUGUUACGAUCUGCUGAGGGUAAGCCGUCCUUCGCCUCGAUUUC
rnacentral:rRNA from 1 species